rnacentral:rRNA from 1 species
UACGUAGGGGGCUAGCGUUGUCCGGAUUCAUUGGGCGUAAAGAGCUCGUAGGCGGCUGCUCAAGUCGAAUGUGAAAACUCGAGGCUCAACCUCGAGACGCCGAUGGAAACCCCCUGGCUAGAGUCCGGAAGAGGAGAAUGGGAUUCCUGGUGUAGCGGUGAAAUGCGCAGAUAUCAGGAAGAACACCCGUGGCUAAGGCGGUUCUCUAGUACGGUACUGACGCUGAGACGCGAAAGCGUGGGGAGCGAACAGG